rnacentral:lncRNA from 1 species
CGUCAGCAGGAGCGCCCGCUGCUGGGCCCGCCUCCGGGUCGGGGGCUCUGACCGCAUCCGAGGCGCGUCCGACUGCAGUAGGGGAGAGACGGAGGCGCUGUCAUCUUCUCGACUUGGGCGCCUCACUCUCCCGGGACUCGUGAUGCCAGAGCUGCCGCGUGGGGCGAGAAAUAGUCGGGGCUGAGCCCCAGCUGGGCCGAGGGCUCGCACUCUUCUGGUCUCUCGGACAAGACUCACCUGAAGGAAUGAGUGGUGGAUUGGCUCCAAGUAAAAGUACAGUGUAUGUAUCCAACUUGCCCUUUUCCCUAACAAACAAUGACUUAUAUCGGGUA